AGCUUGAUCCUGCUCAGAUUGAACGCUGGCGGCAUGCCUUACACAUGCAAGUCGAACGGCAGCRCGGGGCAACCUGGUGGCGAGUGGCGAACGGGUGAGUAAUAUAUCGGAACGUACCCAAGAGUGGGGGAUAACGUAGCGAAAGUUACGCUAAUACCGCAUACGAUCCAAGGAUGAAAGCAGGGGACCGCAAGGCCUUGUGCUCCUGGAGCGGCCGAUAUCUGAUUAGCUAGUUGGUAGGGUAAAAGCCUACCAAGGCAUCGAUCAGUAGCUGGUCUGAGAGGACGACCAGCCACACUGGAACUGAGACACGGUCCAGACUCCUACGGGAGGCAGCAGUGGGGAAUUUUGGACAAUGGGCGCAAGCCUGAUCCAGCAAUGCCGCGUGAGUGAAGAAGGCCUUCGGGUUGUAAAGCUCUUUUGUCAGGGAAGAAAAGGUUACGAAUAAUACUCGUGGCUCAUGACGGUACCUGAAGAAUAAGCACCGGCUAACU
rnacentral:rRNA from 1 species